rnacentral:rRNA from 1 species
CCCUUAGAUGCUCUGGGCCGCACGCGCGCUACACUGGUCGAUGCAACGAGUUUCUUUCCUUGGCCGACAGGCCUGGGCAAUCUUUGAACAUCGAUCGUGAUCGGGAUAGAUUCUUGUAAUUUUUGAUCUUAAACGAGGAAUUCCUAGUAAACGCGAGUCAUCAGCUUGCAUUGAUUACGUCCCUGCCCUUUGUACACACCGCCCGUCGCACCUACCGAUUGAAUGGUCCGGUGAAAUCUCCGGACUGGCGUGAGUCGGAGCAAUCUGACAAACACCGGAAAGUUGAUUAAACCUUACCAUUUAGAGGAAGGUGAAGUCGUAACA